GGCGGUAGAAAGGUUCCGGCUCGUGUUGAUAGCUAGUGAAAUAUAUGCCGUAGAAGUCUUUGCUGUUUUAAAUUUAUAGGCUGAUGAUUUGUAUUGCUACAUUUGCUUUAAUUCGCCAUACUGACAAUCAGAUGUACGAAGCCAAUUCGCUUUGGACUCCGUUACCUGUAUUAGAGCGAAAAGUCAACUGCACGUGUCUUCGUUGUUAAACCAGGUUAGCCAGCUAGCCAUUGCGAGCAAUAGAAGAUAACGACACACACCAUGGGCGAAAAUGCCAAAGGACCUGGAGUGUUUCUCGAACUAAGGAAGCGGUUGCAAAGUGGUCUUCUUGUUAUCUGGAGAGAUGUGGCGAAGAGCUAUGCAGAGGUGAGGGUUACAGGAGGAGAUUCGUCCCUCCACAUCCGGACUCCUCGGGGCCUGCUAAUCGUGGAGCUGCCAGCAGGGGUCAGCCUCGUGGAGGGCUCCUGCAGGGAGGCACCUGAAAGAGGAGAUGAGAUACACUUCAGAAUGCGCCUCAAUGUGGACCAGCACACAGAUGACACAGGGGCCCUGGGGAGUGUGAUGGAGAGGCUGCAGGUCCGAGAGAGUUAUUCCUUCCACUGCCAGUCCUGUGGGACCAGGGUGCUGGAAGAGAGGGUGUUCAAGCGAGUGCUCCCUCUCCCCAACUGCAACUGGAGCUCCCUGGUGGAUGACUGGUGCUGCCAUCCGGACCCCUUUGCCAACCUGAAGCUGCUGCCCCGAGCGGAGGACUGUUUACUGGGCGACACUCACCUCCUUGUGCCCCUGGAUAGAGGCUGUGAGGAGACUCUCACCCAGGAGCUCAGCCCCAUCACCAACAAAAUGGCUGAUGGUCAAAAUCAGGACACACCGAAACCCAACCGCAGGCGUACGCUUGUCUCCUGUAAGAGCUGCACAGCCGGCCUGGGAGAGGCUGUGGCACCAGGGACCUUGAAACUCUACAUCACAGAGGUGACGGUGAGACCCAGUGUGGGAGACAGCCAGUUUGAUACCUCUCCAGACAGGUCACUGUUCCUGGAACAGACCAUAGCUGCCAGACUGGUGGAGCUGUCCUCCUCACAGAGCGUGUUUCGUUUCUCUAUCCAGGCCUCAGAUGGAAAAGCCUUCAUAUUGCUCUGGCUCCUGAACAGCGACUCCCUCAUUGCCUCGUUCUCUGCCACUCCGUCAUUGACUGUCAGAGGUGAUGCUGUCACCUCUCCCGGCCACCGCCAGUGUUCUGAGCAUCAAUCACCCACUGAGGCUGGCAGCGCCGUCAAAGUUCUCUAUCUCCCCUGUUCUCCCUCUGCCAGCACACACCAGGAGUAAGACAGCCUACAUACCCAUCUCCUGCUGCAUUUCUGAUAGAUGUUGUAGACACCUGGGAGAAGGACAUCGGUGUCCACCCCCUAGAACUGCCCCUGACCACGUGCCAGGAGCUGUUGUCGGUGCUGACAGCCAGUACUUCCUGUCUCCCUCCGUCGCUGCAUUCCAUGAACUCCUACCAGGUGGCAUAUAUGAGACUGUAAUGUCAGAGGUCAAGAGCCAUGGAUCCACUCAUCUUUCCUAGAGGGAGGAUCAGCAGAAGAAACACUGGAACACUAAGAGUACAGUUACUUAUCUGUCUUAGGCUGUGUUCAAGACGCACGUAAUGGAAAACCAAGUUCCAUUGCCCAAGUUCAGCUGGUGCAUACCUCCGAGUCGAGCAUUCUCCUCCUAAAAGAACGAUCAUUCUGUUAUACGUUUUGAAAAGGUUUCUUCAAUUUGGUCCUACUGAACAUGACCCUGAUAGCUGCUGUAAUGCAGACUAUGUAAAAAAAAAAAAAAGACUUGUAACUAAUCAUUCCAAUGGAAUGACUGAGUUAUUGAUGACCUGCCCAGAUUAAAUAGUGAAUCUGACUAACA